rnacentral:rRNA from 1 species
UACAGGUGGUGCAUGGCUGUCGUCAGCUCGUGUCGUGAGAUGUUGGGUUAAGUCCCGCAACGAGCGCAACCCUUGUCUUAUGUUGCCAGCACGUGAUGGUGGGGACUCGUAAGAGACUGCCGGGGUCAACUCGGAGGAAGGUGGGGACGACGUCAAGUCAUCAUGCCCCUUAUGUCCAGGGCUUCACACAUGCUACAAUGGCCAGUACAGAGGGCUGCGAGACCGUGAGGUGGAGCGAAUCCCUUAAAGCUGGUCUCAGUUCGGAUCGGGGUCUGCAACUCGACCCCGUGAAGUCGGAGUCGCUAGUAAUCGCAGAUCAGCAACGCUGCGGUGAAUACGUUCCCGGGCCUU